GAGGUAUUAGUAAAACAUUACAUGACUUUGUCAAAGUCAAGUUACAAGUGAAAAUCUUGUAUACCUCU
rnacentral:tRNA from 1 species